rnacentral:lncRNA from 1 species
UGGAAAUUACAAGCGCGAUAUUACAGAAGUGUGGAUUUUAGUUACAAUGUCUCUAUGAGAAAAGUCUAAAAGUUAAACAUAAGCAAAACAACAAAAACAUCUAAAUACCAGGAAUUUGUUAUCUCGAUUAUGGAGGGCGACAAGUCCCACAGUCUGCCAUCUGCAGGAUGGAGAACCAGUCUGUUUCCUUCUUCUCCAUUCCACAUAUUAUAAUGUGGCAACUACAUAACUCAUAAUUACAGUCUUUAUAGGGGGAGAAUAAUUGACUCCAUUCAAGUGUUCGCUCCUGUUUCAAUCAACUAUGGCUGAAGAGUGAGGAGACAUUUGGAAUAAAUAUGGCUUCUGGGGGCCCAUUCCUAUGGAUCAGCAGCUGGCUUCUGGAGGCCCAUUCCUGUGAAUCGUCGAUCUCAUAGAAGAUAAUAUUGUUAGAAGGCUUACCUCAUUGAUGCUGAACAUCCUAAAAAGCUUCUGCUGCUUUGAGUCACUGAAAAAGACCAAGAAACAUGAAUUUAAAAAAAAAUUUCAAAUGUUAUAAAAUAAAUAAUAUGAACUCAUUAUAUCUACAAUGAAUAAUUUAAAUUCUUCUUUGGUAGUCCAGGUAAAUAUUUUCUCAAAUAGAUUUUUUUAAGCAUCUGUAUAAGUUCAAGAUGUACAUCACUUCAUGUAGAAUAACAUCUCCUAAAAAGAACUGAAAUGCCUCAGUAUACAACCAGCUGACCUGGCUAUCAAACACUUAUUUAGCACAUAUUACAUGAUGGACACUUUGAUGUAGAUACGGACCUUGGGUUGUGUCCUCAAGGAUCAUACAGUGGGUUGAGGAAAUAGGAUAUGCUAUCCAUAGGAAAGUAAAUAAUAAUAUGACAGCUUAUUUUCAAUGAGAAGUGAAUAGUACAAAGAAUAAGAGUUGCCAGAUUUCAAAAGGAAAGAGCUAUCACACAGAGGCGGAACAAUUAGAAAUUUUUCAUGAAGAAAGUGUUCUUUGUGCUGGACCUUGGAGAAAGUAUAGAAUGUAGAUUAGCAAAAAGGCAUGGAAAAGGCAUGAUAGGUAGGAGAGACAAGUUAGGCAAAGGUCCAUUAGAAUUGCUCAAGAUAUAAUAGACCAACUUGGCCUGAAAAAGGCCUGGAAGUAUCCUCUUUUGUGCUCUGUGAGAAGUUUGCCACCAUGUAAAAAGUCUAACUACCCUAAGGCAACCAUGCUCUGAGAAGCCCAACCUAUCCAGGUGGAGAGGUCCUGUAGAGAAUUGAGGCCACUGGCCCUGAGCUCCCAGUUGAAAUAGACAAUAUCAACAUGUCAGCAGGGUGAAUGAGACCAUCUUGGAAGUGGGUCCUCCAAGAGUAGUUGAGCCAUCCUGCCUAAAUUUCAGCAUUUUGAGCAAAUAAAUGAUUUAUACCAUUUUAAAUCACUAUAUUUUUGAGUGAAUCACUGACUUUUUUCUUAAUUAAGCAUGGGUUUAGAAACUAUGAAAACCCUAGAAGAAAACCUAGGCAAUGCCAUUCAGGACAUAGGCACGGACAAAGAUUUCAUGACGAAGACGCCAAAAACAACUGCAACAAAAGCAAAAAUUGACAGAUGGGAUCUCAUUAAACUAAAGAGCUUCCAUACAUCAAAAGAAGCUACGAUGAGAGUGAACAGACAACCUACAGAAUGGGAGAAAAAUUUUGCAAUCUGUUCAUCUGACAAAGGUCUAAUAUCCAGCAUCUACAAGGAACUUAAAUAAAUUUACAAGAAAAAAAACAAACCCAUUAGAAAAUGGGCAAAGGACAUGAAAAGAUACUUCUCAAAAGACAUACAUGUGGCCAACAAUCAUAAAAAAAAAAACCUCAACAUCACUGAUGAUUAGAAAAAUGCUAAUCAAAACCACAACGAGAUACCAUCUCAUACCUGUCAGAAUGGCUAUUAAUAAAAAGUUAAAAAACAACAGAUGCUGGUGACGUUGUGGAGAAAAAGGAAUGCUGUUAUACUGUUGGUGGGAAUGUAAAUUAGUUCAACCGUUGUGGGAGACAGUGUGGCAUUUCCUCAAAGACCUAGAGGCAGAAAUACCGUUUGACUCAGCAAUCACGUUACUGGGUAUAUACCCAAAGGAAUAUAAAUCAUUCUAUUAUAAAGAUACAUGCAUGCACAUGUUCACUGCAGUAUUAUUCACAAUAGCAAAGACAUGGAAUCAACCCAAAUGCCCAUCAAUAAUACACUAGAUAAAGAAAAUGUGGUAUAUAUACACCAUGGAAUACUAUUCAGCCAUAAAAAGGAAUGAGAUCAAGUCCUUUGCAGGAACAUGGAUGAAGCUGAAGGCCAUCAUCUUCAGCAAACUAACACAGGAACAGAAAAUAAAAUACCACAUAUUCUCACUUACAACUGGGAGCUGAAUGAUGAGGACAUAUGGACACAUAUAGGGGCACAACACACACUGGGGCCUGUUGGAGGGUGCUGGGGGGAGGAGGCAGAGCAUCAGGAAGAAUAGCUAAUGGAUUCUGGGCUUAAUACCUAAGUGAUGAGAUGAUCUGUGCAGCAAACUACCAUAGUACAUGUUUACCUAUGUAACAAACCUGUACGUCCUGCACAUGUACCCCUGAACAUUAAAAAAGUGUGUUUAAAUUGUGAGAUAAGGA